rnacentral:rRNA from 1 species
AGAUUGAACGCUGGCGGCAUGCCUAACACAUGCAAGUCGAACGGGAGUAGCAAUACUCUAGUGGCGGACGGGUGAGGAAUACGUAGGAAUUUGCCCUUAAGUGGGGGAUAACCCGGGGAAACCCGGAUUAAUACCGCAUGACCUCGAAAGAGCAAAGUGGGGGAUCGCAAGACCUCACGCUUUUGGAGAAGCCUACGUCGGAUUAGCUAGUUGGUGAGGUAAUGGCUCACCAAGGCGACGAUCCGUAACUGGUCUGAGAGGAUGAUCAG